AGCCUCCUGAGUAGCUGGGACUACAGGCGCCUUGCCACUAUGCCCGGCUAAUUUUUUUUGUAUUUUUAGUAGAGAUGGGGUUUCAGCGUGUUAGCCACGAUGGUCUCGAUCUCCUGACCUCCUGAUCCGCCCGCCUCGGUCUCCCAAAUGCUGGGAUUACAAGCAUGAGCCACAGCACCGGGCCUUGGACUUAAUUUUUUUAAUAUUAAUUAGUGUAACUUUUUCAGAGUCUGUGGUAAAUGUGCAUUGACAUUUUAUCAGUAUUGAGUUUUUCAGGGUUUCUUUUCUCUCAUAGCUUUCCUAUGGAUUACCUUCUUUCUUGCUUGGGUAUACUACUGAAUUAUUUAGUGCUUGAGGGUGGUGAAAUAUCUCUGCCAUUGUUUGUUUAUAACUAUCGCUAUUUUCCCCUUAGUCUUGUGCUGUGGUUUGUUUGUGAUAAAUGUCCAGAUUUAUUGUUUCUCUGGGCACCCUUGGAAGAUAGAUAAUCCUUUGUCUUCUGGCAUCUGCAUAACUGGUGAGUAACCUGCUUUCAGCCUUUUAUACUCUAAAUGUUCCCUCUGCUAGCUUUUAAUUUUUCUCUUCAUUUUCUAUAUUCUGCAUUUUCACUACAGUGUUGCUAAAUUUGAAUUAUUACUUACCUAUAUUUCUUGGAAAUCAGAAGUCGUUCGGUUAGUUGUUCUUUGUUGAAAGACAUCUUUAUUUCCAGGAAAAUCUCAGCUAUGUCUCUCUCAUUUUUUUUAACAUGGAACUCUAAAUAGAUACAAACUGAAGUGUCUCAACUUACCUUCUAUGUCUUGAACUGCCCUGUAAUGUGUUUACGUUUGCAUUUCUUUGUUGCAUUCUGGGAAUGUCUCAUGUAUCUGUUGCAGUAUUUCAAUUUAUUACCUUAACUAUGACAAGUACAGAUAUUUGGCUUAUGUAGUAAUUUUUUUUAGUUCUCAGAACUAUGUUUUUUUAGUUCAAAGAUUUCUAAUUAUUUCUUAUGAAGACAUUUUUGGUUGUUUUAUUUCUGCCUUUUUUAGGGUCACAAUCUCUUGAGGUUUUCUUGAUAUUAUUCUUGAAUUAAUCUUUUUGAUGUCUUAGAUAUGCUUAUUUUAUAAGUCUUUCUCAAACUAUUCCAUUAAAUUGUUUCAUCUGGAAUGUUGUCAUGUACCUGAUGCUGAUUUUGUCAACUACUUGUUUUGGUAGUAAUUUUUAUUUGCCUGUGUUCUGAGGCCAGUGUUUUCAGACUGCUGGCAAUUGGGUGGACAUUUUUUCUUUUGCUCAAUUACCCUCUGUGUUUAUGCAUACCUCUUUAGCAGCUUCCUGUUUCACUGUUCCUAGUCUAGAAUCAAUUCUUAGAAUGAUAUGCUGGGUUUCCAUGGAAAUAAAAACAAUAACUAACAGUAAUUGAGUGCUUCAGAGGGCCAGGUUACCUUGUAAGUGAUUUAUCUGUAUUAACACAUUCCAGUCUUACAUGUAACUCUCUGAGAUAGGCAGGAAUUUUAUUUCCAUUUUACAGAUAAGAAACGAAAAGUGCACUUUAAUCCCAGCACUUUGGAAGGCCAAGGCAGAAGGAUUGCUUAAGGCCAGGAGUUUGAAACCAGCCUAGGCAACAUAGUGAGACCCCACCUGUACAAAAAAAAUUUAAAAAUGAAAUGGGCAUGAUGGCAUGCAUCUGUAGUCCCAGCUACUUGGAAGGCUGAGGCAGGAGGAGGAUCACUGGGCCCCAGAGUUACAGUGACCUAUGAUUAUACCACUGUACUCCAGUCUGGGUCACAGAGUGAGACCCUGUCUGAAAAGAAAAGAAAAGAAGAGAAAAAAAGAAGAGAAAAGCAAAAAAGAAAGAGAAGAGAAGGAAAAGAGAAAAGAAAAGAAAAAAGAAAAGAAAAGAAGGAAAAGAAAAGAAAAGAAAAGAGAAAAGUAUAAGUAAUCUCCCAAAUGUCAAAAGAUGAAAUGAAGGAACUGAGGCAGUAAAAUAAACAGAACCUUGCCUUGGGCCUCCCAAAUCCUCCCAGUCCCACCUUUUCCUCGUGAGCCUCAGAUUCCUGUGCAGAGCUGCCUCACCAAUAUGUUGUGCCAUUUCCUAUUCCUGGAAAAGCCCUGGAGACUGCAAGGGUGGUGUCUCACUAUGUUGCCCAGACUGUUUUCUAACCCUGGCCUCAAGCAAAUUUCCCACCUCCUUCUCCCAAAAUGCUGGGAUUACAAGUGUGAGCCACUGUACCCAGCCUACUUAGGAGGACAUUUACUAUUCACUUACUGAUUUGCAUCAAAUUAUUGAUUGGUGGUGUUUCAGAAGGUGGAAGCUCUGCCAGCCCCACAUACAGCCUGAGUGAGACAUGCCAUUCAUUUGUUAAGCAGCUGAGGGUUUGUAACUGCUUGUGACUGCGGCAUGUCCAAGAAUGUUUUGUCUGAUGCACGACAAUGAGUGAAUAUAUAAUGAUUCAACAAGAGCCAUAGAGUUUUAAAAUGUGUUACAUUUUAUAGGAAAUACAGUUACUUAGACUUAUAAAAACAAGAUAUUCUCAGAAUAUUUUUCAUACUGAUUUACCUCUACUUGUCUUACUGGUGUCUAUGAGCUCAACUCAAGAUUUCCAAUCAAAUAACAACGAUAUGGAUUCACCUGGUGGCCAAGCAACAAUGUAAGAUAUUUAGAGUAGAGUCCUCAGAACAUUUUGCUGUGUUUGAAGAUGCUCAGGGUAAGUUAUAGUAUUCUGAGUUUUGUAUUUCACUACAACAAAUGCUUGUCUUUAUUUUCUUUCUUUUUUUUCAAGACGAGGACAGAAGAGAUUGAGAAUCAUGGUUAAAAGAGAAAAAACAAAACUCACUUGGGCCGUCUUUAAAUGUAUACAGAUAGGUGUUUGGUAGGCCCUAGCAUGCUUAAACUUAGGUUUCAGUAUGCAUGGGCCUUCCAGGAAACUGGCUGGGAAGACACACAAGAAAUUUAUAUCCUGUAAGGGACUGAGGCCAGAGAGAGAGGGGCUCAGCACAGCUGGUAUCAGAGCCAUGCUAUAACACUGGGUGCUGCCAAAGAAAGACACUAUGGAACAUGAUGCAAAUGCUGUUUCAUGAAGGCACACAACACCAUCUACAUGCAGGUACUAAAGCAAUGGAAACAGCACAGCACCCUCCUUCUCAGGAACCACUGCACUGAUCACUCCUUGUGCAUGACUAAGCAGCCUCACUCAGCAGGGCUUGGCAGGGGAGUCUGCCAGAUGUCGUAAAGCUCAGAAACAGAAAAAUGAUGAGAGAGGAUGGGAUGCCCAGGAACAUAGUCACUGCCCCUUGGGAGCAGGAGCACCUCGUGGAAGUGGCAGCUCUGCCCCGAGAAGUGGGCAAGUUGGAGCCUGAGUCUAGCAGGGUUUUGGGCCUUUUGCAGAGGUCUGGCCUCUACAUGCGGGUGUUGCUGAAAAGUUAGAGGAACUUUUCUGGAGUCGUGAGUGCAUGUUGGGGCAAAACUCAGUAGAAUUUGAGUGAUUAUUUCAAACACAAAUACAAUUCUACCCACAAAUAGGUGAAGCCAAGAGAAACUGGCCAUUUAUGGGUCUAUGCAACUACAUUUAACUUAUACACACAUAUAGAAUUAGUAUUGAUGUUAAGGGUAGAAAUGCUGACAGAGCGGUGACCAUGUGUAAAUUAGGAAAUAAGAAAUAUUAAGGCAUUGUUGUUUCAGAAAGUUCAAACUAUCCAUAUAAAUGAGUAAAAUCUGAUUAUCAGUUAACUAGCUGCUAUGCAAGAUGCAUAUAUUAUCAUAAAAGCAAAAUAAUAUUUCAAUGAUUUAUAAAAAUAAGAGAAACUAACACAUCUGGAUAAAGAAUCCAAUUAUGCCUAUCUAAAGCAACUAUCCCCAACAGAUCAAACUGUUUUGCAAUCUUAUCUCUCAUGACUAUGAUUGUAAUUUAUAUUAAAACAACUAUUGAGGCCAAAAAUAACUCAGAGCUAAAUUGUUCAAAUAGCUAUGUUAAAAGGCAUCUCACUUUUGUCAUUUCAGUACAAAUGGGAUUCUCAUUGGGAACAUAGAAAGUUAGUUUGCUAGGAUGACUAUUGAAACCUUAAGGUGAAAAAGCUUGCUCUUACUGAGAAAAUCCCAUCAUGAGUUGUGGGAUUCAAUUCAAACGAGACACAAAGGAUAAAGAAACACUAAGAAAAUAUGCAUAAAAAAGACAUAUAUUAAAAUGAAAAUCUGUUGAGUCAUAACUGUAACACAUCUUUAGAGGUGGCAGCUUUACAAUCAAAUAAAUAAUAUUUUGACACUUUCCAUAACAUUAUGUUUAAUCUCCUUUCAAUUACAUCCAUCUGACCGUCUUUCCAGGUACUUUGAAUCACAAUUCACGUGUCAGAACUUUAUUUUGUUCUAAAGAAUGAAUUUCAAGAAAAAAAAUCCUUAUGUUUCAUUCGUAUAUCAUGAAAUGGGCAUUCAACACUUUUCUUGAUUUGUAUGGUUAGCUGAAAUGGAUAAAUCAGACACAUAUGAUACUGGUCCAAUUAAAGUGAAUGUGCACAAACUACCUUUUAAAGUUUUGGGUAGUCAUUAUAAAUUGAUCUGGAUGUUAAAAUUCACUCAAAAAUUUCAAAGAAUUUCUUGUGAAUCAAAAAUAUCUUGAAAGUCAAAAGAUUAGGAGAAAUACAUUUACUGUGAUUUAAAAGAACACUCGAUCCAUUUUUAAAAUAUUUAGUAAUAUAUAAUUUAUUAUUUCACUCAUCUGUCUCAGUAUAAGGAAUUUGGUGACAUUUCUAUUUAUGCUUUUAGAGGAAACAUCUGAUUCUAAGGUUCAAAGCGUGAGACUGUAAGGCUUUUACAAACACAGAAAUUAAUGAGGAAGGUCACCAUGCAGUCUAUAACUAUCACAGACAUUUUUUAAUGCAACAAUUUACUGGAUUAGCUAUCAGAAAGUCAAGGAGGUGAUUCACUACCAUACAUGAAAAUAAAGUAUAAAAUACUGGUUUUGACAGUGCAACUACACUUUUAUAGCUGUUUUGUCAGUUUCUCACAAAUUUCCUCAAAUGGACAUAUCAUUACUUGAAUAGUAAUCAGCAAUUUAUUUUCAGGGGUUUUUUUGCAAUAAAAAGAAAUGCCUUCACUCAUAAAACAUAAUGAAGAGAAAGGCACUUUAUUUAAGAAUAGAGGAAUGCAUUAUGCCUCUUGAAUAUAUAGUACAUUAUUUAUAAUCUACUGCUGCAGUUACUGUUGUAUAUCCU
rnacentral:lncRNA from 10 species